rnacentral:lncRNA from 10 species
UUGCCCUGUGUCUCUUGCAUGGUAACAAGCCAGCCUCAACUGCUUGAGCUAAGAGCAAGCUCAGUGUUUCCUUCAAGCAGCAUCGUGGACAGAUUCCUGCCAGACCCUUCAGAGCAAGCACCCCACACCCCUAGCCCAGGGUCUCUUCAUCGAUAGGGGGUGAUCUGUCUGCCCCUCACUGUUUUCUCCAAAUAGAGAUAAGAUCUCACUAUAUUGCCCUGGCUGGUCUCAAACUCCCGUGUUCAAGUCAUCUGCCUGCCUCGACCUCCUAAAGGGCAAGCGGGAUUACAGCCUUCUCCACAGCCCAGCCACAGUGAGGGAGUCAUCAGCACUGGAACCCGGGGUCCACGGCCUUGGAGGAUCCGGACCCUCCGCAUUUGAGGAACUUGGCCUUCAGUCAGGGAGCCAAGAAGUCCCUGCCAAUCAAGGAGGGGGUGUGGGCUGGUGGGGGGGGGGCAGCCUUGGGGCACGGGAGCUGAUAGACCAGACUCAAGAGUUCUACUCCUGACUUCUAGAUUGUUCCACCUCCAUAUGGAAUAUGUUCCUUCCAUCUAACACUGUGUGAUUUGGGGACCAUCCAACUCAAAUGAAAGAAGCCAAGCCAUGCAGCGAGCCACCCCCUCCCCAAUGUGGGGUACCCCCUGCCCCCGCCCAGCUCCCCUGCCCUCCCAGCUGAGGGGGGAUCGCCGCCUGGUGAUCUCAGCCUCCCCUCCAAGUGGGCUGUGAAGUGUCUAAUCCAGGCUUUCAUCUGGCAUCCACAAUUAUAAUGUCAAGAUUGAAUAAUCUGCCUUUAUCUCCCGGGUGACAGCCAUGUAGAAACUUCAAAAGAAACAGUUUUGCUGGCAUCUAACGGCUUUUGUUAAUUACUAUAUCCCAAAGAAAAUGAAAUAAAGGAGGGAGAAAAAUGAUAUUUCUCUGUGACAACUUUGUAAAAAUAUCAGUGAUGAAGUGGUGCGGUUUAAGGGCUUUAAGUAUUCAUGCGGCUGAGAUGGGGCCUCUACCCUCCCGCUGGGAAGCUUAAGCGUGCCCGAGGGUGCAUGCACACACACACUCACACACUC